CAUGUCUUUUUGAUUAUAAUUUUAAGUCUAAUCUGCACAAUGUAAAAUUAAAUUGCCGCAGUAUUUUGACUGUGCAAAGGUAGCAUAAUAAAUAGUUUCUUAAUUAGGAACUAGUAUGAAUGAUUGGACGAAAAAAUUUCUGUCUCUUGUUAAAUAUUAUUGAAUUUUAUUUUUAAGUUAAAAAGCUUAAAUAAUUAUAGAAGACGAGAAGACCCUAUAGAGUUUUAUAUUUUUUUUAUAUUAAGAAAUAGUAAUUAUUUUGUAUAUAAAUUAUUUAAUUGGGGUGAUUAAAAGAUUUAUUAAAUUCUUUUAUUUUAAUUGAUGAUUUUUAAUUUUUUUAUUUAAGUUUUUUAGAUUAAAAAUAAAUUACCUUAGGGAUAACAGCGUAAUUUUUCUUGAGAGUUCUUAUUAAAAGAAAAUUUUACGACCUCGAUGUUGGAUUAAAAUUAAUUUUUGGUGUAGUAAUUAAAAAAUUAGGUCUGUUCGACCUUUAAAAUUUUACAUGAUCUGAGUUUAGACCGGCGUAAGCCAGGUCGGAUUCUAUCUUUAGAAUAAAAAUAUAUUUUAGUACGAAAGGACCAAAUAUAUAUUAUAUUUAAUUA
rnacentral:rRNA from 1 species